ACCGAGGGGGUGCAAUGGUAGCACGCCUGCGUGUUGAGCAGCGAUCCAGGUUCGAAUCCUGGCCUUGGUG
rnacentral:tRNA from 1 species